GGCCCUCUAGAUGGGCCUCUAUACACAUGGGCUCAAUAUACACCAACACUAAAGAGCUAAAGGCUAGGUACGGAGGCACAUACAUAUUCACAAUGACAACAUCGCCAGACCAAGAACAGGAGGUUGAACUGCUAGUGCAUCAACUUUCACCCAGUGCGAACAAGAUCUACCAUCUAUCUGGAACUCAGAAGUUUGAGCUCCCGAAGCAGGAAGUGAAAAUAGCCCAAGUUUUUGCUGCAGUCGAGAACGCGAAGCGCCGGCUCACAAUACAUGCCUGGGCCUAGUUGAUACUACCUUGGAGGAUGUCUUCAUUAAGGUGGCCAGAGGAGCACAAGCAUUCAACGAGUUUGCGUAGAUAAUACCCUGAAGACCACCUUCAUGGCCGGCAUAGGACCCCAGGUAUUGGAUGGGACUGCGUCACACAUGGCAUGGAGAAUCUUGCAAUUUUGUAGGUAGUUAUUCUUUUCAUUUGUGAGAAGCAUUCUUCUCUAGAAAAUUUGUUCUAGUAUAUACUUUUUUUCUGUGGUUGUACAGAAACAUACUUUUUAUAGUGCCAUUGCAGAAUAAAAUAAGUGUCCAGAUGUGCUCAUCA